rnacentral:rRNA from 1 species
GAUGAACGCUGACAGAAUGCUUAACACAUGCAAGUCAACUUGAACUUCGGUUUGGGUGGCGGACGGGUGAGUAACGCGUAAAGAACUUGCCUCACAGAUAGGGACAACAUUUGGAAACGAAUGCUAAUACCUGAUAUUAUGAUUAUAUGGCAUCGUAUAAUUAUGAAAGCUAUAUGCGCUGUGAGAGAGCUUUGCGUCCCAUUAGCUAGUUGGAGAGGUAACGGCUCACCAAGGCGAUGAUGGGUAGCCGGCCUGAGAGGGUGAUCGGCCACAAGGGGACUGAGACACGGCCCUUACUCCUACGGGAGGCAGCAGUGGGGAAUAUUGGACAAUGGACCAAGAGUCUGAUCCAGCAAUUCUGUGUGCACGAUGAAGUUUUUCGGAAUGUAAAGUGCUUUCAGUUGGGAAGAAAAAAAGGACGGUACCAACAGAAGAAGUGACGGCUAAAUACGU